rnacentral:rRNA from 1 species
GAUGAACGCUGGCGGCGUGCCUAAUACAUGCAAGUCGAGCGGACCGGGGACGGGUAAGGAACACGUGGAUGACCGCAUUUAAGACUGAGAUCACUUAGGGAGACCUGAGCUAAACAGGAUACUAAUAGAGGGAACCUCGUUGAAUUAGCUAGUUGGUAAGGUAGCGGCGUACCAAGGCAACGAUGCAUAGCCGACCUGAGAGGGUGAUCGGCCACACUGGAACUGAGACACGGUCCAGACUCCUACGGGAGGCAGCAGUAGGGAAUAUUCCGCAAUGGGCGAAAGCCUGACGGAGCAACGCCGCGUGAGUGAUGAAGGUCUUCGGAUCGUAAAACUCUUUUAGUAGGGAAGCGGUACCUAAUCAGAAAGCCACGGCUAACUACGUGCCAGCAGCCGCGGUAAUUC